rnacentral:rRNA from 1 species
GCGUGCCUAAUACAUGCAAGUCGAGCGAAUGGAUUGAGAGCUUGCUCUCAAGAAGUUAGCGGCGGACGGGUGAGUAACACGUGGGUAACCUGCCCAUAAGACUGGGAUAACUCCGGGAAACCGGGGCUAAUACCGGAUAACAUUUUGAACUGCAUGGUUCGAAAUUGAAAGGCGGCUUCGGCUGUCACUUAUGGAUGGACCCGCGUCGCAUUAGCUAGUUGGUGAGGUAACGGCUCACCAAGGCAACGAUGCGUAGCCGACCUGAGAGGGUGAUCGGCCACACUGGGACUGAGACACGGCCCAGACUCCU